CACCCACAAUGGCAUUUUUUUUUUAAAUUAAAUUAAUGUAUAUGUGUAUAAAUGCAUGAUAAAUUUAUUGUUGUUUAUUUAAGAGUUUGUUAGUUUGUUUGUUAUACAUAUUUAUGGUUGAUUGUUGUUUAUUUAUUUGUGUUUCUUGGUUUGUUUGUAAUACAUAUUUAUGUAUUAAACCGUUUAUGGACAAUCAUGGUGUUCUGUCUUCAUAGUGUAAUUGGAUUAGUAAUGUUUAAUAAUAUUAAUAACAACAACAACAACAAUAGUACUAAUGUUCCUGCUAUCUAGAAAAAGGUUCAAAAAGGAAUUGAAGAGGGUCAUUAAUGCACCUUUAAGUGAAGGUUCCAAUUAGAACCUUUUCAAAAAGGUUCAAAAAUUAACCUUUAAGGUUCCCCCACAGUUGCAAUCUCCAGGAACCUCAAAAGGUUCCUUUUUGAACCUUUUCUUCUUAGCUGCAGCCCCAUAAUUUUGUUUGUCAUCAAUGAAGAUCUCAAAAUCUCAGUACUGCAGGGAAAAGACAAUGAUGCUGGGAAGACAAAAAUCCAAGAUGGUGGUGAGGUGGUGAGGAAUCCGGAUGAUGACAGUGAGAAGGCAGCAGGAGAGGAUGGCACAGGAACUGCGGGGAAUAGAGCCGAAGGUAAGUAUUUGUGGCUGAGUGGAAGUGCGUAGAGUGGAUGAGGUUCCGGGAAAACACGAACAUCCAACGCAGACAACACUGAAGCCAAACAAACAGGGUAAGCGACAUGAAACAACGAUCUCACAAACACAAGACGUGAGACAAGCCAAUAUAAAGGGAAUGAGUAAUGAGUGACAGCUGUUGCUGAUGACAAUUAACGGAGACGCCCACAAACUAAUCAGUGCAGACGCGAAACACACAGACUUCACCACAAAGUGCCAACACCCAGAGAUCACGGUUUACCAACCGUGACAAUAUAUAACACAGUAAUUCUACAGUAAAAUAUAGAAUAUAAAAGUAGUUUAUAAGUAAAAUAUAAAAGCCCAGCAGACAAGCAAUAUGCAUAAUUUAUUUAUUGGUUUAUAACAAGCCUGAUCAAAUAAGAGAAUAAUAGUUGAUAGACAUCCACCUAAAAGCAUUACUUCUGGACCAAAUCCUUUGGUCUCCCACUUAGCACUAGUCUUAAACUGAUAGAUGUCUGGAGAUAUCUCAAUCCUAAUCUCAGGCAGUUCUCUUGGUUAAAACCCAGUGCCUCCAGCAAAUCAAGAAUUGACUAUUGGCUUAUUUCAGAUAGCCUACUGUUAUUCGUUAAAGACUGCGCUAUCUUGGCAGCACCUUUGACAGACCACUGAGCUAUUUCACUAUUAUUCAAACCAAAUCACAACACUUCAAGGAUUAAGGGAUCUUGGAAAUUUAAUUCUGAUUUACUUAAUAAUGAGAGAUUCUGUAAUAAAGUUAAAGUUUUAAUUCUG
ensembl:lncRNA